GGGGCUAGGACGGUUCCACCACCUGGCUUGUCAUCCUGGUGGUCAGGGUUCAACUCCCUGUAGCUCCACCA
rnacentral:tRNA from 1 species